UCCCCCUUCUUCCAUCCCCCGGGUCUGGAGGGGUCCCUACAGAUCUUAAAAUGACCACACCGCGCCCUCCACCCCAGGGAAGGUUGACAUUCAGGGACGUGGCCAUCGAAUUCUCUCAGGAGGAGUGGAAAUGCCUGGACCCUGCUCAGAGGGCUUUGUACAGGGACGUGAUGUUGGAGAACUACAGGAACCUGGUCUCCCUGGAUGGAGUCUUGCACUGUCGCCCAGGUUGGAGUGCAUUGGCCCGAUCUUGGCUCACCACAACCUCCGCCUCCUGGAUUCCAGCAAUUCUGCCUCAGCCUCCCAAGUAGCUGGGACUACAGGCGCGUGCCACCACACCCGGUUAAUUUUUUGUAUUUUUUAGUAGAUACGGGGUUUCACCAUAUCGGCCAGGCUGGUCUCGAACUCCUGACCUCGUGAUCUGCCUGCCUCAGCCUCCCAAAGUGCUGGGAUUACAGGCUUGAGCUCCUGCGCCCAGCCCAUGCUAAGUCUUUUACCCAGUGGUCAAAACUGGCACAACACAGGAUUUAUACUGGAGAGCAACCUCACAAAUGUAAUGAAAGUGGUAAGGCUUUUUAUCAAAUGUCCUUGUCUUUGGGGUCAUGAGAAAAUUCAUACAGAAUCUAUUAAAAAUGUACUAAACAUGGAAAGACCUUUAAGCAACAGUGAUGUGAUGAAGGUGGUAGUUUUUUAAAUGAACUCCCAUAAGAGUCUACACACCAUAGAACUCAUACCAGGAAUCACAAAGUCUCUAAAUUUCCAAAGUUAACUGGAAAUAUUACAAACUGCAGAAUAAUUCCAGGCCAAAAUAUGUUAAAUUCAUAACAUGAUGUAUAUCAAAGGAAAAAAGGACAUGUGGAAAUGACACAUUAUCUUCAGUGUAUAAAAUAUUCAUUUAUGUGAAGUUUCUUGGAAAGGCUACACUACUAUUACUGGUUUCCGUCUGAUGUUUGAGAUCUGUUGAUUUUAUGCUUUUCUUACAGGCCUUUCAUUAUGAUCUUUGGGAAGGAAUCAAUAAAAUGAUAGGGCCUACUUCAUUAGGUGUGGUUCAUUCCUAUUCAUGCUCCCUGGAAGAACAAGAAUGCUGAAUUUUGAAAUUUAAUAUUGUAUGAAUUAGCAUCAGGGAGAGGUGGAGAAAAAUACAAAACUAAAAGUCAUGCUUAUUGUGUUCAGUGUGCCCUUCUCCAGAGGGCCACUGGCUUAUAGGAAAGGAUUGCUGCUCUACCAGUUGACCAGGAGAUGGCACGCCAGGACAUUAAGACACUGGAGUUUUGUUUCGUUUUUUUUUUUUUUUUGAGAUGGAGUCUCGCUCUCUUGACAGGCAGGAGUACAGUGGUGCGAUCUCGGCUCACUGCAAACUCCGCCUCCCGGGUUCAAGUGAUUCUCCUGCCUCAGCCUCCCGAGUAGCUGGGACUACAGGCGUGUGCCACCACCCCCAGCUAACUUUUGUAUUUUUAGUAGAGACAGGGUUUCACCAUGUUAGCCAGGAUGGUCUCAAUCUCUUGACCUCAUGAUCCGCCCGCCUCCGCCUUCCAAAGUGCUGGGAUUACAGGCGUGAGCCAGUGUGCCCGGCCGACACUGGGCUUUUUAUGAGAGUGACAGAUUACUAGGACCUCAUUAUGUGGUAGAAGUAAUGUAGGGGAAAUGGCGAUUAUCUUUUUUUAAAAGCAAUAGCUGUUGUAUAUCAAUGAUAAAUGAAAAAUUAGUUAUUCUUGUAAAUUGAAGAAAGAAUGGUUAUCAUAGAGGGUAGUUCAAGUAAAAGAACCAGGGCUGGGUGUGGUGGCUCACGUUCUGUAAUCCCUGUACUUUGGGAGGCCAAGGCAGAUGGAUCUCUUGAGGCCAGGAGUUCGAGACCAGCCUGACCAACAUGGCAAAACCGUGUCUCUACAAAAAAUACAAAAAUUAGCCGGACAUCGUGGUAGAUGCCUGUAAUCUCAGAUAUUCAGGAGACCGAGGGGAAAAUCACUUGAACCCGGGAGACGGAGGUUGCAGUGAGCUGAGAUCGCACCACUGCUCGCCAGCCUGGGCAACAGAGUGAGACUCUGCCUCAAAAAAAAACCAAACCAAACCAAAGAACCAGAAUAGCAUGUGCACAUAUACACAGACGUUUCACAACUGGCAUUAUGUUUUGCUACUGUUUUAUUUACAAUGUAUCACAAGUUUUAUGCUUUAAUAAAAU
rnacentral:lncRNA from 1 species